GGCAGCAUAUUUGGUCUGUGAACCUGCCACCUGACAGUUUCAUUCAGCACUUUUUUGGGCAUGUAAUGGGAGAGGGUGACUGUUCAUUGUGUUCCUUUGCUCCUCCUGCAGCAUUCAUGAUUCCAUGUACCUCCAUCAUAAUUGCCCCUCAGCCAUUUUAAGCUCAUUUAUAGGGGGUUGCCACUGACAGCUGACUGACAUCUCCACCCUCACACUAUCACAGGAGCAUUUGCCAUGUAUUCCUUCACUGGAUAAUCUUGGGGACUGGUUGAAGUAGAGGAUCCUAGCAGAGGCUCAUGUGACCUUUGAGAGGCAGAGUCACCCAUCAGAUCAGCAGCCCUGUGAUGGCCAGCACAGCCAUCAGCAGACUGCUGGGACAGCUCCCAUGGACCUCAGCUCCUUCACUUCCCAAAAGCAAGCACUGAAGAGGGAACAAAGCUCUGGGACUACAAGAGUACAAGUGCUCCAGAUUUAACAGAACUUACAUUUGAUUUACACAAAUAAUCUGACAAUGAAAAGCAUAGUCUCCACAAGGCACUGACUUCAAAAAUCAACAUAUUUAUGCUGUCAUGAAUGAGAA